rnacentral:lncRNA from 1 species
GAGGAUUACAAUGAAACUAACUAUGCGGAACAGAUAAGCCCAGAUUGAAGUGGUACCUUCUGCCUCUGCCCUGAUCAUAAAAGCCCUCAAGGAGCCACCAAGAGACAGAAGGAAACAGAAAAACAUUAAACACAGUGGAAAUAUCACUUUUGAUAAAUUGUCAACAUUGCCCUACAGAUGCAUCACCAAACCCUUAGCUAGAGAACUUUCUGGAACCAUUAAGGAGAUUCUGGGGACUGCCCAACUCUGUGGGUUGUAAUGUUGAUGGCCGCCACCCUCUUGACAUCAUAGAUGACAUCAAUGGUGGUGCAGUGGAGUGUCCAGCUAGUUAAGAAAUACAUGAGAGAUUUUCUUUUCCACAGUUAAGUACAUGAGAGAAUAUUUUAAUAAAGGAUCAUCUGACAACCGAAAAAAAAAAAAAACAGAAAUUGUUUCUUUAGACAUUG